rnacentral:tRNA from 1 species
GGGGUUGUGGCUCAGCGGUAGAGCGCUCGCCUCGAACAUGGGAGUUUCUGGGUUUGAUCCUCAGCACCACA